rnacentral:rRNA from 1 species
AUUUGACUUGAGUUGAAAUAGAGCUUUGCUCGUGAACCAAAUCAGGUGGGCCUGGCCGUCUUUGUAGGAAAUGCUUUGGCGGCUUGUCUACGAAUUGUAAUUAUAAUAUGGGCGGGAGUGAAUCCUUUGCAGACGACUUGAAUGGGAACGAGGUACUGUAAGCGGUAGAGUAGCCUUGUUGCUACGAUCCGCUGAGGUUAAGCCUCUGUUCUAAAGAUUUGU